rnacentral:lncRNA from 1 species
GGGCAGAGGCACAUGUGUGUUGCCCGCAGCAAAGCUGUGGGCCAGCUUGAACCCAUCUCGGGCUCAUCGGAUGGCGAAGGUGUGUCUGCCUUCAUGUUUCCUUCUGACGAUAAUGCUAUAUGUACUGUAUUAGUCCUUAAUCUAAGCAAAUGUGGUUGAGUGGUACUAUUCUUUAGCUCAAUUAAUUUACAUGCUCAACAAUGUUCAAAUGUUAGUAACUUGCAUGCAUCUCACUUAUAAAUAUUCUGUUAAUUAGGUAGGUGUAACGAACACCAUCCCAUUGUUUUUAUCUGGUAUAGUACGAAAGGGUAUUAAUUGUUUCAUUUCUUGUAAGAGAAGCCUCGGAUUUGUGAGCAUGGGUGCAAUGCACAUUAGGAAAGUGGAAUUGGGGCUUGCCAUUUACAUGUUGCACCUGACGGAUGAAUGAAGCAGUACCACUAUGGAGUAAGGCACCCCUGUUCUAGAGUAUAGCCAAGCUAUUGGAUCUUGGGUGGAUUCGGCAAUCUAGGGUGAUGUGAAAUCAUUUGUGUUUCCUCUUUGGCAUAGGGGUUGCCUUGCUAAUUUGACAACUUCCAAAUUAUGCUGUUGGUCUGUUUAUAACAGUUUGUGUGCAAUGGUUUACUAGGGCACUAUCAUGUUUUGAGUACCGUUUUACGAAGAUGCGAAAGAAAAGCAUAACCAUGCUGUGAGUUAGUAGCUGCCUGGGAAUCCAUCUCUAGCCCUAUAGCCUAUGGGAAUAGGAAAGUACUACUCGCGCCGUCGAGGCACACAAUUAUUAGCUCGCUAGCAUUUCUUUUUUACAAAGAGGCUGAAUUCAUAUAUUGAAGUCGACCAAUCCUUACAUGACCAUCCUUAAAGAAAUAGGAAAUUAUGCAUGGGUCCUUAAAAAUUGACGUAUUCUUCCUCCUACACCAACUAGUGGUCCGCUGUGAACAAAGAUAGAUGUUGAUGAUGUAGCAGCCAAGAAUCCUUCGUCAUAUCCAGAAGACGCUGGCGAAAAUAGAUCGCCAUCCUCGAGAAGGUGGGAAAGAGGGCUAGAUGACAACCCUAGAUCUAGAAAAACGGUUCUUGGGAGAACUAACCUCAUUAGCUCCCCGAUGAAGCUGAAACUAGCCAAACUUCAUCGUUGUACAAGGAGGCAGAGGACCAAGGGAUGAAUCACAUCGACUACUUUGCUGGAUGACAAAUUUUGACGAGAUCAUGUCCUUUACUAGUAUAAAAAUAACAGGAUCAUGUCUGUUACACCUACCUAAUUAACAGAAUUUUAACAAGUGAGAUGUAUGCAAGUUACUAACAUUUUAACAUUGCUGAGCAUGAAAUUAAUUGAGCUAAAAACAAUACUACUCUGCCACAUUUGCUUAGCCUAAGGAAUAAUACAAAACAUAUAGCAUUACCACCAGAAGGAAACAUUAAGACAAACGCACCUUCACCGCCCAAUGAGCCCGCGGACUGGUUCAAGCUGGCCCAUAACUUUCCACUAGCUCCACCCUGGUGUCGCUUCCCUGCAGGGUCGCCGAGGGUCAGACAUCAGCGCUGCUCCUAAGGAAGCAGUGUUAUUCCCCUCCUCCGCAUCUGCCAUAGUAGGCAGCGAGUUCGUCCUAGCAAGCAUGGGUGGCACUAGUGCCACCUCCUAGAUGCAUGCGACCGACGGGGACCUGGCGAGCCCCUCGCUGCUCCUUCUCUCUCGCCCGAACAGACCCCUGAGCGACAUCCCGAGGCUAAGUUCCAACUCCUCCUCCCACGAAUCCAAGCACUAAGCCUUCCGCUUAUCGUCGUCUCCCCCAUCGACGCCACACGACAAGUCCCUCGAGUAGUUCUCCAUUAACGCCACACGUACUUGUCACUUGGUUAGAUAAAGCUCCCGCACAAACUCUUCACUUGGUCAGAGGAAGCUCACGCGCUCAUCGGAGAAGAACCUGCCUAGGGGAGGAAGAGAAACCAAGCACAAUUAAGGAGGGCAACUCAUGAAGCAUGAUGCGAGAGAGAAAUGAACAUAUAGGAGGAGGAGAAUCGAGGAGAGGGGCCCGAACGAGAAUUGUGCAGCCGAGGAGGAAGGAGGGCAGGAUUGAUGUCUGCUAAUGUGGUGUUCCGCUCUACUCGUGGAUGCCUCGCGUGGAGAGGAAGACACUCUCUUGCAACACAAAUUUUGCUC